AGUGGAUGUGUACUACACCUCUACCCCAUUAUAACGCUGUCCUCCGGGAGUUAAAAAUCUUACUGUGUGAUAUCGAAUUAUUUGAUCUGCGGAGAGCC